rnacentral:rRNA from 1 species
AGCGAACGCUGGCGGCAGGCCUAACACAUGCAAGUCGAACGGAUCCUUCGGGAUUAGUGGCGGACGGGUGAGUAACACGUGGGAACGUGCCCUUUGGUUCGGAACAACUCAGGGAAACUUGAGCUAAUACCGGAUGUGCCCUUCGGGGAAGGAUUUAUCGCCAUUGGAGCGGCCCGCGUCUGAUUAGCUAGUUGGUGGGGUAAAGGCCCACCAAGGCGACGAUCAGUAGCUGGUCUGAGAGGAUGAUCAGCCACAUUGGGACUGAGACACGGCCCAAACUCCUACGGGAGGCAGCAGUGGGGAAUCUUGCGCAAUGGGCGAAAGCCUGACGCAGCCAUGCCGCGUGAAUGAUGAAGGUCUUAGGAUUGUAAAUUCUUUCACCGGGGACGAUAAUGACGGUACCCGGAGAAGAAGCCCCGGCUAACUUCGUGCCAGCCGCCGCUAGU